GACGAACGCUGGCGGCGUGCUUAACACAUGCAAGUCGAGCGGUAAGGCCCUUUCGGGGGUACGACGAGCGGCGAACGGGUGAGUAACACGUGGGUGACCUGCCCUCAGCUCUGGGAUAAGCCUGGGAAACCGGGUCUAAUACUGGAUAUGACUCCAUGACGCAUGUUGUGGGGUGGAAAGCCUUGUGCGGCUGAGGAUGGGCCCGCGGCCUAUCAGCUUGUUGGUGGGGGAUGGCCUACCAAGGCGACGACGGGUAGCCGGCCUGAGAGGGCGACCGGCCACACUGGGACUGAGACACGGCCCAGACUCCUACGGGAGGCAGCAGUGGGGAAUCUUGCGCAAUGGGCGAAAGCCUGACGCAGCGACGCCGCGUGAGGGAUGACGGCCU
rnacentral:rRNA from 1 species